CAGGAAGUACUACCUAUUGGCUGUUGAACUAUUGCUAUGCUGUGGGUACUUGGUAACAAGCUUAAGAUUGGUGGAUGCAUAUCGCUGUCUAUGCUGAUUGGCUUAGCUCCCCUAUAUAAGCGAUGGCCAUAUGAAAUAAAGGGCUUUUUUGAAACCCAACCGGAGGGAGGGUCGUUAUUAUCGCUGCUGGACGGCGAUAGUCCUCAGAAUUUAAAGAUGUGUAUUUCUGCAUAGCCUUUUUCUUUAAGGAGACUGGUCACCAAAUUGGAAGGCUUAGAACAAGCACCAUAAACAGAAAACUGGGGAUGCCAUGACAG